UGUUUCGGCUAGGGGGCCAUCCCGGCUUACCAACCCGAUGCAAACUGCGAAUACCGGAGAAUGUUAUCACGGGAGACACACGGCGGGUGCUAACGUCCGUCGUGAAGAGGGAAACAACCCAGACCGCCAGCUAAGGUCCCAAAGUCAUGGUUAAGUGGGAAACGAUGUGGGAAGGCCCAGACAGCCAGGAUGUUGGCUUAGAAGCAGCCAUCAUUUAAAGAAAGCGUAAUAGCUCACUGGUCGAGUCGGCCUGCGCGGAAGAUGUAACGGGGCUAAACCAUGCACCGAAGCUGCGGCAGCGACGCUUAUGCGUUGUUGGGUAGGGGAGCGUUCUGUAAGCCUGUGAAGGUGGCCUGUGAGGGUUGCUGGAGGUAUCAGAAGU
rnacentral:rRNA from 1 species